rnacentral:rRNA from 1 species
GACGAACGCUGGCGGCGUGCUUAACACAUGCAAGUCGAACGGAAAGGCCCUGCUUGCAGGGUACUCGAGUGGCGAACGGGUGAGUAACACGUGGGUGAUCUGCCCUGCACUUCGGGAUAAGCCUGGGAAACUGGGUCUAAUACCGGAUAGGAGCCAUUUUUAGUGUGAUGGUUGGAAAGUUUUUUCGGUGUAGGAUGAGCUCGCGGCCUAUCAGCUUGUUGGUGGGGUAAUGGCCUACCAAGGCGGCGACGGGUAGCCGGCCUGAGAGGGUGGACGGCCACAUUGGGACUGAGAUACGGCCCAGACUCCUACGGGAGGAAGCAGUGGGGAAGAUUGCACAAUGGGCGCAAGCCUGGUGCAGCAACGCCGCGGGGGGGAUGACGGCCUUCGGGUUGGAAACUCCUUUCGCUAGGGACGAAGCUUUUUGUGACGGUACCUAGAUAAGAAGCACCGGCUAACUACGUG